rnacentral:ncRNA from 1 species
GGAAUUUAGCGCAAGCGGAAAGACGUGAAUCGUUCUGCGGUCGUCGUGGGAGCCGGUGCGUCAUCUGGCGGAGCAGGAGCGUGCACGAUAAGACCCGAAAGAUGAUGAAGUAUGCUUGCGGAGGUUGAAGCCACAGGAAACUCUGGCGGAUAACCGCAGCGACUCGGACGUACAAAUCGAUCGUCAAACGUGAGUAUAGGGCGAAAGACUAAUCGAACCAUCCGGUAGCUGGUUCCCUCCGAAACUUCCCUCAAGAUAGCUGGCACUUAGUUUUAUCCGGUAGAGCGAAUGAUUAGAGGUACUGGGUUUGAAACGACCUCAACCUAUUCUCAAACUUUAAAUGGGUGAGAUGCCCGGCUCAUUUUAUAAGAGUCGGGCGCUGCAUAUGCGAGUGCCAAGUGAGCCAUUUUUGUAAACAGAAUGGGAGCUGUGGGAUGAACCAAAUGCCCGGAUAAGGUGCCUAAUGCUUCCGCUCACGAGAUACCACUAAAGGUGUUGGGAAAUAUAAUCAGCAGGACGGUGCCCAUGGAAUGUGGCAUCCGCUAAGGAGUGUGGAACAACUCACCUGCCAAACUGAACAGCCCUGAAAAUGGAUGGCACUGGAGCGUCGGGCCUAUACCGGCCCUCAUUGCAAAUAGGAUCUCAGGGUCUGGACGAAGCAGUCUCAUGUUCACAGCUAUGCUGAUGGAAGCAUACCAUGAGGAGAGACC